CGGCUCUCUCAGUUCCAGUAUUCGUUCAGUAGCGCUGGCGAGGCGAUCCCCAAGGCUUGCCGCGACACACGCUCCCUUGCACCACGGUGUUGCCCGGGCGACGGGACCAGACCUGCGAGCGGAAGAUAACGAAAAGUGAGCCGUGCAAAGAGAAGCAGCUGAAAAGUGACUGGGAAGUAAUCACUCUGAAAACAUACACGAGUUGAACAAUGAGAAACUCGCGUCAGUAAAUAAUGGUUCUCUCAUAAUCUGUGAAAAAGAAAGAAAAACACUCAGAACACUCGAAAGAGAAAAACAAAACAAAAACAAAACAGCUUUACGGAAUACAACAUAGCAAAAUUUUCUCUACAUCACAUCUUCCUUAUUUAUUAACCUCCUUUUUUGAAGAGUAUAGCGUCACACAACAUACGUACCUGACAUUCACACCACGAUAUAUACACAGCAUUAUACAUGACACAUUACCGUAACUGAGAGGAAGAAAAAAAAAAGAGACUCAUAAGGCAGCAGUGAGUGAGGAACAGAGACAAAAGCAUCAGAGAAAUAGAUUAAUAAUAAACGUGCAACAAUAGUGAAGUUACAUAGCAAAGGACAACUUGCAACAUCAGACGUGUUGUUGUUGUUUUUUUUUUUCCCACGGCAAUACAACGGUCGAACAAAGGAACAUAUUCUGAAACACUUCUGCGCAGCACCUACAAUCCUCUCAAAUACUCUCAAUACUCUAGUCUAAGCUACACGGAUUUUUUAAGGGUGUUUCUACGGUUCUAGUGGCAAAUAAACAAGAUUUCUACAUUAUCAAAAGGAAAAAAACAGUCUUGAGAACCCAGCUAAUCAUCUCUGUGAUCUUUGAAAAUAGUCGUGGUGAAAGGGCAGUGUUUCUGAAUACGAAAAAUAAGUGCGAGGAAAACUUAAGUGUUCGUCUGCCGUCCUAUAGCCAGCGAGGGACUGCCACGUGCCUCACAACAAUGGAGUUCGGGUUGGAUGCCUCGACACUGCAGCUCUGCGCUCAAGCCAGAGGACGACUGGCGGGCUGUCCAUCUCACCUCUCCGUCAAUGGAUACCGGGACCUCCUCCACGCACUGCCUCACUCCUCCCAGCCAGAACACACCCGCGGCGCCGCUCUCUACGUCACGGCGGUGGUGGUGUUCUACGUGGCCCUUCUGCUGGUACUCGUAGGCGGUGGACUGAGGCGGCGGGCGGCAAGGGCGGCCUCCACAUCAGGGCGCCGCCACAUCCUCACUUACUACCCCGCCACGCACACCGCCACGCCUGCCCUCGCCGACCACCAUCCUCAACCUGACGCCUCGGCCACUCAGGUGUAAUAAUGGGCAGCAUUCACCACAGUUUCAGGUGGCAAGAGGGAAAGGAGAGGAAGGAGAGGUCGUUGCCGCCUCUUGGCCGUAAACCUCCUAGUUUCCUCCUCAGCCGGCAGCGGACGAGGGGCUUAUCCCAGACUUUCCCUGCGGGGGUCGACGUCGCUGCCUUAAUGUCAGUGCGCAGUAAACAGUGUCUCCUUUGUGUCAGGCUCGACACACACGCGUCUUUGGUCUAACUGAUACGAACUGCCAGCGACACCUCUAUGUGCGCAGGAAAUUGGCCAAAGGCGAUGCAAAGAUCGGCUACGUACGAGUAGUGACAGACAGAUGGGAGGGUGCACCGCUGCUCUUGUUUACACGUACAUACAUAUCAGUGUUCUGGUAGCUGUGUGUGUGUGUUUGUGUGUGUGCCGAAUCAUGAGUACCCUAUUCUUCGAUCUGUGUGUGUGUGUGUGUGUGUGUGUGUGUGUGAAGUGGUGUUUCAGUAUCCUAAAGCGUGACUCAUUGUCUUGGACUGUUAGGCUUCGGGCGUGGCUCUGGUCACUGCCACGGCAACCAGAGCUUCCCGAGGCGCCCAUGACACGAAUCGUACGUCUAUGAGCAAACCAUCAAAUAUAUUCCCAACGCCAGUUAGCGGCACUGGGCACCACGCCACGCUCGGAGUGCUGAUGCGGUCUUCCUGUCACUGUCAUGUAACCACGAAGUGAAGCAACUGAACGCCAAGUAUGAGCGCUGAUUCAAAGUAUAUAAGUGAUGUGAGGGUAGCCAUAUGUAUGUCAUUGUAUAGUUCUCUAUGGUUGAUAAGAUAUGAGAUAGGGAUGAAUCUCUCUCUCUCUCUCUCUCUCUCUCUCUCUCUCUCUCUCUCUCUCUCUCUCUCUCUCUCUCUCUCUCUCUCUCUCUCUCUCUCUCUCUCUCUCU